rnacentral:rRNA from 1 species
UACGUAGGGGGCUAGUGUUGUCCGGAUUUACUGGGUGUAAAGGGUGCUCAGGUGGACUUGUAAGUCAGAGGUGAAAUUCCAAAGCUUAACUUUGGAGCCGCCUUUGAUACUGUGAGUCUAGAGUUUGAGAGAGGGUAAUGGAAUAUCUGGUGUAGCAGUGAAAUGCGUAGAUAUCAGAUAGAACACCAAUGGCGAAGGCAGUUACCUGGCUCAAAACUGACGCUAAAGCACGAAAGUGUGGGGAGCAAACAGG